rnacentral:rRNA from 1 species
GAUGAACGCUGGCGGCGUGCCUAAUACAUGCAAGUCGAGCGAACAGACGAGGAGCUUGCUCCUCUGACGUUAGCGGCGGACGGGUGAGUAACACGUGUAUAACCUACCUAUAAGACUGGGAUAACUUCGGGAAACCGGAGCUAAUACCGGAUAAUAUAUUGAACCGCAUGGUUCAAUAGUGAAAGACGGCUUUGCUGUCACUUAUAGCUGGAUCCGCGCCGCAUUAGCUAGUUGGUAAGGUAACGGCUUACCAAGGCAACGAUGCGUAGCCGACCUGAGAGGGUGAUCGGCCACACUGGAACUGGGACACGGUCCAGACUCCUGCGGGAGGCAGCAGUAGGGAAUCUUCCGCAGUGGGCGAGAGCCUGACGGAGCAGCGCCGCGUGAGUGAUGAAGGUCUUCGGAUCGUAAAACUCUGUUAUUAGGGAAGAACAGAUGUGUAAGUAACUAUGCACGUCUUGACGGUACCUAAUCAGAAAGCCACGGCUAACUACGUG